CCUACGGUGGGCAGCAGUGGGGAAUAUUGCACAAUGGGGGAAACCCUGAUGCAGCGACGCCGCGUGAGUGAAGAAGUAUUUCGGUAUGUAAAGCUCUAUCAGCAGGAACGAGACAAGACGGUACCUGACUAAGAAGCCCCGGCUAACUACGUGCCAGCAGCCGCGGUAAUACGUAGGGGGCAAGCGUUAUCCGGAAUGACUGGGUGUAAGGGGAGCGUAGACGGCUGAGCAAGCCUGAAGUGAAAGGCGGGGGCCCAACCCCCGGACUGCUUUGGGAACUGUACGGCUGGAGUGCAGGGGAGGUAAGUGGAAUUCCUAGUGUAGCGGUGAAAUGCGUAGAUAUUAGGAGGAACACCAGUGGCGAAGGCGGCUUACUGGACUGUAACUGACGUUGAGGCUCGAAAGCGUGGGGAGCAAACAGGAUUAGAUACCCGAGUAGUC
rnacentral:rRNA from 1 species